AUCCUCCUGCCUCACCCUCCCAAGUGCUGAGUUACAGGUAAAUUCCCAAGCUUCUGAUUGUUGGGUCAUAUGGCAAGUGUACGCUUAACUUUGUAAGAAAUGAUCCCAGCCCGGACAGAAGAGAAAAACUUCCCAGGCAAUGCAGUUGCACAUCCUGCAAGGCACAAAGGAUAACAGGAAUCCAAGGCCCAGAUUCGAGAUAAGCAGCCUGCCCCACACAGCGACACCUGCAUGACCAGGCACCACUGGAGACCACCGCCCUGCUGCUCCUACCAACAUCCUGUUUAUCAGCCAGCCCCACGCCCAUCACCCGUGGGACUCUAAAAUUUUCCACCCUCUCAGUCAGUGCCCUGUCCCCUGCCUAAACUCUCCCAUGUCAACCACUUUCACCCUCCUCUCAGUGCCAGUGUCCUUUUUGUCCUUGGUCUGUUUGCACCCAGAGGGCAAUAAACUCUUCUCCAGUUGCUUGAACUUUGCCUGUCUCAAUUGUGCCUUGGUCUGACCUUGCACCCACCACCGGAAGUGCCCAACCACUCUGUUUUUUGUGAUGGAGACAUCAGGUCGCUUGGAGCUGACUUCCUUUGUGUGGGAUAAGCGCCAAAUGGGCCACUUGAGUUAGAGGAAUGAGAAGCCAGUGGAUGCUGACUUAGCAGGGCAAAAAUUGACACCUGGAUAUAUUCUAACACCCCUUACGUCAGAGAACUUGAAGAUUGCUAAAAAGGAGCCAGGCAAGUUGGCUUCGGGCACUUUUAGAGACAAGUGCUCAAACUACAGCCCCAAACUCACUUACCACAAAGG